AGUGAACGCUGGCGGUAGGCCUAACACAUGCAAGUCGAACGGCAGCACAGGAGAGCUUGCUCUCUGGGUGGCGAGUGGCGGACGGGUGAGGAAUACAUCGGAAUCUACUUUUUCGUAGGGGAUAACGUAGGGAAACCUACGCUAAUACCGCAUACGACCUACGGGUGAAAGCAGGGGACCUUCGGGCCUUGCGCGAUUGAAUGAGCCGAUGUCGGAUUAGCUAGUUGGCGGGGUAAAGGCCCACCAAGGCGACGAUCCGUAGCUGGUCUGAGAGGAUGAUCAGCCACACUGGAACUGAGACACGGUCCAGACUCCUACGGGAGGCAGCAGUGGGGAAUAUUGGACAAUGGGCGCAAGCCUGAUCCAGCCACACCGCGUGGGUGAAGAAGGCCUUCGGGUUGUAAAGCCCUUUUGUUGGGAAAGAAAUCCAGCUGGCUAAUACCCAGUUGGGAUGACGGUACCCAAAGAAUAAGCACCGGCUAACUUCGUGCCAGCCGCCGCAGUAA
rnacentral:rRNA from 1 species